AUUGAACGCUGGCGGCAGGCUUAACACAUGCAAGUCGAGCGGGGAAAGGUAGCUUGCUACCUGACCUAGCGGCGGACGGGUGAGUAAUGCUUAGGAAUCUGCCUAUUAGUGGGGGACAACAUUCCGAAAGGAAUGCUAAUACCGCAUACGCCCUACGGGGGAAAGCAGGGGAUCUUCGGACCUUGCGCUAAUAGACGAUCAUAAGUCAGAUUAGCUAGUUGGGGGAGUAAAGGCCUACCAAGGCGACGAUCUGUAGCGGGUCUGAGAGGAUGAUCCGCCACACUGGGACUGAGACACGGCCCAGACUCCUACGGGAGGCAGCAGUGGGGAAUAUUGGACAAUGGGCGAAAGCCUGAUCCAGCCAUGCCGCGUGUGUGAAGAAGGCCUUUUGGUUGUAAAGCACUUUAAGCGAGGAGGAGGCUACUUGGAUUAAUACUCUAGGAUAGUGGACGUUACUCGCAGAACAAGCACCGGCUAACUCUGUGCCAGCCGCCGCCGUAA
rnacentral:rRNA from 1 species